rnacentral:rRNA from 1 species
GAUGAACGCUAGCGGGAGGCCUAACACAUGCAAGUCGAACGGGAUUGGGAGCUUGCUCCCAUGAGAGUGGCGCACGGGUGAGUAACGCGUAUGCAACCUACCUUUAACUGAGGGAUAGCCCAUAGAAAUGUGGAUUAAUACCUCAUAGUUCUGAGAGACCGCAUGGUUUUUCAGAUAAAGCUCCGGCGGUUAAAGAUGGGCAUGCGUGACAUUAGUUAGUUGGUGAGGUAACGGCUCACCAAGACUACGAUGUCUAGGGGUUCUGAGAGGAUGAUCCCCCACACUGGUACUGAGACACGGACCAG